CAUGCAGAUAUUCUAUAACUGACUCUGGCCUACUAUCCACAUGGUGAAGAGUAGCUAGAACUGGGGUUCAUUGAAAAGGCCAGGGCUUGUCUCUUGGUAUUUCUGCCUGGCAUGUUCAAAGUGAGAAGGUGAAGAUUGGACACAGCACCAAGCUUAUGAGCCUCAAAAGUACCAGUGACUGAGUUACCAUGAGGUCUAGGAGUGGAGUCCAUGCUGAGUCUUGUGGUCUUUAGUAUCUUGGCCCUGUGGAUUGAUCUUCAUGACUCAGCCUAGUGGUAGUUGAGACUUGGGCUAAUUCAAUGUCUAUCUCACAUUUGGAAAUAAAGUUACUGGGGCCAAUGCUAUGCAGAAAUUGUGUUAAGAUUGAAUUUACUCUUCUAAGGGACUGAGGAGGCAUAGAAGAAAGUAAGCCUCCAGGAACCUCUCCCUAAAGAGAGCCUAGAACCACAUAUAAUGGGGUUGUCUCUUGAAGCCCGAGCCAGAAGAAGGAACAUCUCUCCUCUCCCAAGCUUUCACCAACUCCAAAGAAGAAAAACAUUCUCCAACUGUCUAGGCUUGAACCCCGGAUUAUACAGAGAAGAAAAUUGAGAGUUUUGCAUAGCAUUCAUAAGAAUAACUCAUUCGAGCAUACCAAUGUACUACUCAGACCCAGUAAUCUCUUGUUCUCAUCAUAUGUCUAGCCUAUUGUUGUUUUUUAAAAGACUGUUCCAAUCUCAAAACGCCAAAUUAAAUGAACAUCUCUGCACACACAGUACAACAGAAAUGGAGGAUUGUACAUGAAACUGUGACUUAUGUAUAGCUUACUUUUCUUCAUAAGUAUGUGAUAAAUUCAACAUGUAACUUUCAAAGCUGUCCUGAUUGUCUGGGAUUCCUUUUGUCCUUC